GCCCACAUAUUAUACGUCACUCGCUGGCUACGUACCCCGCGCGCGCGCCGAGUUGGCGCCAGGCUCGCGGAUAAGGGGCGGGAGAACGCCAACGCAACGCAAGCAGAGGAAAAUCGGCGGGUCCCGAGGCCACCUGGGAAAUGUAGUUCUGCUUUUAGGGGCGCGGCCCACCCAUCCUGAUUGACGCACAGUGACAUUGCUUCUGGGAUUUGUAGUUUUUACUGUAGGCAGGAACUGCUGUGGACUCAUUGGCGUCUGGGGAAGGCGGAAGUGAAGUGAAGGACCGUCCGGCAAGGCAAGGCUGUGACAGCUUGAUACUUUCGCAGUUCUCAGCACCUUAUUCGCAGGUACCCCAUGACCCCACUGUUCUGCUUCUGAAACGCCACCCUAUAGAAACAUGUGCUGUUUAAAAUAGACAAGGUACUACUGACUGGAGGGAUGUCCAAAAACUAGUGUAAGUAAACAAAGCAAGGUGGAUAAUUCCUCAUGAUUUCAUAUAUAUGUUUUAUAAAAAAUCCUAAACGUGUAAUGUAGACUUUUGUAUAUAAGUGUAUAGGAAAGGGAUUAAGAAGGACAUGUGCCAAAAUGUUUAACGGUGAUUAUCCCUAGGGAUAGUGCAGUGCAAAGACCGCUUUAGCGUGGCCUUCCUCACCAUGGUCCUAUAACUCCCACCCAAGUGAUUGGUUGGGACUGUGCAGAUAAGGUAAUUGUGGCUGACCAAGGGGAUUGAUCGGCUUUGCCAUCCCGCUAGGCUUAAAAUGAGCCAUCCCACAGGUGGGAAGAGAGUCUCUCACCACCACCAAGGAAGAAGAACCAGGAGCGGAGCGCGUCCUUUGGACCCAGGACCUCUGCACUGAGAAACUUCUAGAACCAGGUGACCAAGAAAGAUAAAGAGCUAUAACGCUGAAGAUGGUAAGAAGUGGUGGCAGAGAAAAGGCAGCAGGAGACGGUGCAGUGGAUUUUCCAGCCCACGGAUGGAGAAAGCUGAGCACCUUCAGGCAGGAGGCUUGUUGGAAGAGUAGGGUGCCUCCAGACACUUGGUAGAGCUAGGUUUGCUGAUCCACAGAGCUAGAGCUAAGCACCUACCCAUGGAGGCCUCUUGGAGGAGUGGGGUGCCUCAGGGCACUUAACAGCAGAGCUAAAAGAUCUUUUUAACACUUGCCCAAGCAGGAAAGAGGUGAGGGAACCAGAGAGAGGCAUGCCUGGGAGCAUGGCUGAGAAGAGGCUGUCUUGAUGGAAGAACUAUAUCCUGAGCGUUCCUGGACCUGAAUUGUAACCUGUUGCUUCCCUAAUAAACCUCAUAAUCGUGA